GACGAACCGUGCGAACGUUAUUCGGAAUCACUGGGCUUAAAGCGCGUGUAGGCGGGCGGGUACGUCGGCGACUGAAAGCCCCCGGCUCAACCGGGGAAGGGGUGCCGAAACGGCCGGCCUGGAGGGGCGUAGGGGGACCUGGAACUUCCGGUGGAGCGGUGAAAUGCGUUGAUAUCGGAAGGAACGCCGGUGGCGAAAGCGACGUGCUGGCCCUCUUCUGACGCUGAGGCGCGAAAGCCAGGGGAGCAAACGGG
rnacentral:rRNA from 1 species